rnacentral:rRNA from 1 species
CGAAACCUGCCUAGCAGAACGACCUGUGAACCUGUCUUACACCAGGGGCUUGCGGGCCUGGUGCCCAUGCACUCCCACUUGUGCCGUGUCGUGCAUUGGCUACACAAGUCCACGUGUGUCUUUCCCCUUGUGGCACAUUAAUGAACAAGGCGCGAAUCACACAAGGAAAUCUCAACGAGAAAGCUUGCUCCCGUCACCCCGUGCACGUUGCGCGCGGGAUGCGUUACCUUCUUUCAUUAUCUAUAACAACUCUCGACAACGGAUAUCUCGACUCUCACAUCGAUGAAGAACGUAGCAAAAUAUGAUACUUGGUGUGAAUUGAAGACUCUCGUGAACCAUCGAGUCUUUGAACGCAAGUUGCGCCACAAGCCAUUAAGCUGAGGGCAUGUCUGCCUAGGUGUCACGCAUCAUUGCCCCCCUCCCAAGAUCUUACGAUCUCGUGGCGGUGGGCARAGAAUGGCCUCUCGUGUGCUUGCGUAUGCGGUUGGCCCAAACCUAAGUCCUCGGUGAUGCUUCCUGCGACAAUCGGUGGCGUUUAAAACAUAAUCUAGUGAUCUUGUCAUGCAGCGGCAUUCUCCUGUCUGAGGACUCCUCGACCCUCUAACCGGCUCGCAUCACGACCCUAAGUUAGGCGGGAUUACCCGCU